rnacentral:rRNA from 1 species
CCCCCUGACCCCAUGCCGAACUCAGAAGUGAA